rnacentral:rRNA from 1 species
UACGUAGGGCGCAAGCGUUGUCCGGAAUUAUUGGGCGUAAAGAGCUCGUAGGCGGUCUGUCGCGUCUGCCGUGAAAACCCGAGGCUUAACCUCGGGCCUGCGGUGGAUACGGGCAGACUAGAGGUAGGUAGGGGAGAAUGGAAUUCCCGGUGUAGCGGUGAAAUGCGCAGAUAUCGGGAGGAACACCGGUGGCGAAGGCGGUUCUCUGGGCCUUACCUGACGCUGAGGAGCGAAAGCAUGGGGAGCAAACGGG